UACAGAGGGUGCAAGCGUUGUUCGGAAUUAUUGGGCGUAAAGCGCGUGUAGGCGGCAUGGCAAGUCGGGUGUGAAAGCCCUCAGCUCAACUGAGGAAGUGCGCCCGAAACUGCUUUGCUUGAGUGCUGGAGAGGGUCGCGGAAUUCCCCAAGUAGAGGUGAAAUUCGUAGAUAUGGGGAGGAACACCGGUGGCGAAGGCGGCGACCUGGACAGUAACUGACGCUGAGACGCGAAAGCGUGGGUAGCAAACAGG
rnacentral:rRNA from 1 species